rnacentral:rRNA from 1 species
AGUUCGGAUUGUAGUCUGCAACCCGGCUACAUGAAGCUGGAAUCGCUAGUAAUCGCGGAUCAGAAUGCCGCGGUGAAUACGUUCCCGGGUCUUGUACACACCGCCCGUCACACCAUGGGAGCCGGAAAUGCCCGAAGUCAGUGACCCAACCGCAAGGAGGGAGCUGCCGAAGGUGGAGCUGGUAACUGGGGUGAAGUCGUAACAAGGUACC